GGGCGCUUAGCUCAGCUGGUAGAGCAUUCGCUUGACGUGCGAAGGGUCAGGGAUUCGAGUUCCUUAGCGCCCACCA
rnacentral:tRNA from 1 species